rnacentral:rRNA from 1 species
AUUAAUAAGCGGAGGAAAAGAAACUAACCAGGAUUCCCUCAGUAACGGCGAGUGAAGCGGGAAGAGCCCAGCACCGAAUCGCACGUCUUCGCGGACGUCGCGAACUGUGGUGUUUAGGACUAGCGCAUGUGCGUCGGUCCGGCGUCCGAGUCCUCCUGAUCGGGGCUUUGCCAGAGCGGGUGUCAGCCCUCUACGGCGCCGGAUUCGACGUGCCCGCCACGUCCUCGGAGUCGGGUUGUUUGAUAAUGCAGCCCAAAGUUGGUGGUAAACUCCAUCUAAGGCUAAAUACGGACACGAGUCCGAUAGCGAACAAGUACCGUGAGGGAAAGUU